AUUGAACGCUGGCGGAAUGCUUUACACAUGCAAGUCGAACGGCAGCACGGACUUCGGUCUGGUGGCGAGUGGCGAACGGGUGAGUAAUGUGUCGGAACGUGCCCAGUCGUGGGGGAUAACGUAGUGAAAAUUACGCUAAUACCGCAUACGAUCUAUGGAUGAAAGCGGGGGGUCGCAAGACCUCGCGCGAUUGGAGCGGCCGAUAUCAGAUUAGGUAGUUGGUGGGGUAAAGGCCCACCAAGCCAACGAUCUGUAGCUGGUCUGAGAGGACGACCAGCCACACUGGAACUGAGACACGGUCCAGACUCCUACGGGAGGCAGCAGUGGGGAAUUUUGGACAAUGGGCGAAAGCCUGAUCCAGCCAUUCCGCGUGCAGGGUGAAGGCCCUCGGGUUGUAAACUGCUUUUGUACAGAACGAAAGGUUUCUACUAAUACUAGGAGCUCAUGACGGUACUGUAAGAAUAAGCACCGGCUAACUACGUGCCAGCAGCCGCGGUAA
rnacentral:rRNA from 1 species